rnacentral:lncRNA from 1 species
AACAAUUUUACACACAUCGAAACACAAUUAUGUUUAUGAAGACAGUUGUGGUAACUUCAAAACAUAAAAAUAAAUAAAAUAAAUAAAUAAGUUAGACAUCAUUCUCCGUCCACUUGCCGUACUUAUUGAUCAUCUUCUCAUCAAAAUCCUUAUUUUUCAUUUCCACCGCCGUCGCCGCAUUGGCCACCGACUCCUCCUGUACCCUCGCGAUCUUCUGCCGCCUCUUCCUCGCCGUGGCCUCCCUCUCUGCCUCCAGCCCCUCGUACUCCCUCACCCAGCAGCUCUGCACCACGCAGCUCACCACCAAAACCCCCAAUUGCAUCACAAACAUCGCCAUCAGAACCCCGCACUCCAGCCUCACCAGCACCUUCGCCUCUCGCGGAUCCCUCGCCGAUCUCAGCAUCUCGAGGCUCGACUUCUCCUUCGUGAAUAGGACCAGGAUCCCCAGCAGCUGCCCGGCCGACGAGGCGAGGAGGAGCGAGACGUGCGUGAUGAAGCAGAAGCGAGUGAGGUGGGAGUAGAAUCCGACGAACGACGACAGCAGCGAGACGCCGGAGAUCAUCAGGAACGCCCAGCCGAGGGAGGUAGGCGGCAUUCUGAGGGCGAUCGUCGGCGCUAGGGAGGCGGCGGAGAGGAUGAAGAGGAUGAAAUUGAAGAAUGAGAGGAGGAGAGUGAGGAAUGAGCAGGAGCUUCUGCGCCUCGAUGAUGCCAUUGCGACGACGUCGUAUCGGUAAUGUUUUCUAAGAGAAGUCUCAAUCUCUGUGUGUUGUUUUGAGAGUUUGCUUCGUGUGAUUUUGGAAGAAGAUGGAAGAGGGGAUUUUGAAUUUAUAUAGUGAAGAAUUUAGGCCGUUUGAAAUAGGAUUGAUUUCGCAAUUGCAACGGCUACAUGUUUAAGCAAGCGCCAAGCGGUGCUUUUAAGAAUGUUGCCUUCGGCUUCUUUUUUGGGUUUAAAUUGUGUGGGCUCGUUCGUGGGCCUAAUGGCCCACCAAAAUGUUUGAUCUUUUAUUUAUUUUUAUAUUCAUGUAUUUAUGGG